rnacentral:rRNA from 1 species
AAAGGAAUUGACGGGGACCCGCACAAGCAGCGGAGCAUGUGGUUUAAUUCGAAGCAACGCGAAAAACCUUACCAAGACUUGACAUCGCGCGCAUAGCCCGGAAACGGGUGAAAUCCUUCGGGACGCGCAGACAGGUGGUGCAUGGUUGUCGUCAGCUCGUGUCGUGAGAUGUUGGGUUAAGUCCCGCAACGAGCGCAACCCUUGUGAACAGUUGCCAAUAUUAAGUUAGGAACUCUGUUCAGACUGCCGUGGUUAACACGGAGGAAGGUGGGGAUGACGUCAAAUCAUCAUGCCCCUUACGUCUUGGGCUACACACGUGCUACAAUGGCUACUACAAAGAGCUGCAAGCCUGCAAAGGUCAGCGAAUCUCAAAAAAGUAGUCUCAGUUCGGAUUGUGGGCUGCAAUUCGCCCACAUGAAGUCGGAGUUGCUAGUAAUCCCAAAUCAGCAUGUUGGGGUGAAUGCGUUCCCGGGUCUUGUACACACCGCCCGU